AUGUUUCUUCUUCUACAUUUUCGUUCGCCAAACUCCCAACUGCAGCGGCCGAUCUUAACCCUUCAUCUCCGAGAAUGUGUGGUUAGGAUUGAUUCAGAUUAUAACUUGCUCUCAAAGUUUCUGAUAUUGCUGAGCUGUUUUAUGUACAGAGCUAUUUUUUUUUUUGGGCAAGGUUUUGGACAAAGCUUUGGCAAGGCUUGA